AUUGAACGCUGGCGGCAGGCCUAACACAUGCAAGUCGAGCGAGCGGCGGACGGGUGUGUAAUGUCUGGGAAACUGCGUGAUGUAGGGGGAUAACUACUGGAAAAGCUAGCUAAUAUCGCACACACUCAGAUGUGCCACGAUGGGAUUAGCUAGUGGGUGGGGUAACGGCUCACCGAGCCGAAGAUCCCUAGCUGGUCUGAGAGGAUGACCAGCCACACUGGAACUGAGACACGGUCCAGACUCCUACGGGAGGCAGCAGUGGGGAAUAUUGCACAAUGGGCGCAAGCCUGAUGCAGCCAUGCCGCGUGUGUGAAGAAGGCCUUCGGGUUGUAAAGUACUUUCAGCGGGGAGGCGUUACCCGCAGAAGAAGCACCGGCUAACUCCGUGCCAGCAGCCGCGGUAAUAC
rnacentral:rRNA from 1 species